GAUGAACGCUGGCGGCGUGCUUAACACAUGCAAGUCGAGCGAAGCGCUUAAGUUUGAUUCUUCGGAUGAAGACUUUUGUGACUGAGCGGCGACGGGUGAGUAACGCGUGGGUAACCUGCCUCAAAGAGGGGGACAACAGUUGGAAACGACUGCUAAUACCGCAUAAGCCCACAGCUCGGCAUCGAGCAGAGGGAAAAGGAGUGAUCCGCUUUGAGAUGGCCUCGCGUCCGAUUAGCUGGUUGGUGAGGUAACGGCCCACCAAGGCGACGAUCGGUAGCCGGACUGAGAGGUUGAACGGCCACAUUGGGACUGAGACACGGCCCAG
rnacentral:rRNA from 1 species